AUUGAACGCUGGCGGCAUGCCUUACACAUGCAAGUCGAACGGUAACAGGUCUUCGGAUGCUGACGAGUGGCGAACGGGUGAGUAAUACAUCGGAACGUGCCUAGUAGUGGGGGAUAACUACUCGAAAGAGUGGCUAAUACCGCAUGAGAUCUACGGAUGAAAGCAGGGGAUCGCAAGACCUUGUGCUACUAGAGCGGCCGAUGGCAGAUUAGGUAGUUGGUGGGAUAAAAGCUUACCAAGCCGACGAUCUGUAGCUGGUCUGAGAGGACGAUCGGCCACAAGGGGACUGAGAAACGGCCCAGACUCCGACGGGAGGCAGCAGUGGGGAAUUUUGGACAAUGGGCGCAAGCCUGAUCCAGCAAUGCCGCGUGCAGGAUGAAGGCCUUCGGGUUGUAAACUCCUUUUGUACGGAACGAAAAGCCCCGGGUUAAUACCCUGGGGUCAUGACGGUACCGUAAGAAUAAGCACCGGCUAACUACGUGCCAGCAGCCGCCGUAAUAC
rnacentral:rRNA from 1 species